rnacentral:rRNA from 1 species
GAUGAACGCUAGCGAUAGGCUUAACACAUGCAAGUCGAGGGGCAGCAUGGUCUUAGCUUGCUAAGACUGAUGGCGACCGGCGCACGGGUGCGUAACGCGUAUGCAACUUGCCUCACAGAGGGGGAUAACCCGUCGAAAGACGGACUAAUACCGCGUACACUUGGGAUAGGGCAUCCUGACCCAAGGAAAUGAAAUUCGCUGUGAGAUAGGCAUGCGUCCCAUUAGCUAGUUGGUGAGGUAACGGCUCACCAAGGCGACGAUGGGUAGGGGAACUGAGAGGUUGAAGCCCGACACUGGUACUGGGACACGGACCAGACUCCUACGGGAGGCAGCAGUGAGGAAUAGUGGUCAAUGGGCGAGAGCCUGAACCAGCCAAGUCGCGUGAAGGAUGACUGUCUUAUGGAUUGUAAACUUCUUUUAUACGGGAAUAUCAAGAGCCACGUGUGGCUCCCUGCGUGUACCGAAUGAAUAAGCAUCGGCUAACUCCGUG